CAAUAUAAUUGCUAUUAAAAUGCUUCUCAAUAAGUUACUCUCUCAUUCAUGCCUACACAUUUCUGUUAGUACAUAUCUUAAAUGGCUCCCUAGGAUCUCCAAAUUGUUCAUGGUCUUCUCUUUAAACUGCAAACUUUGUACAAGGUUUUGAAGAUUUGUUAAAGCCCAAAGAGGUCAAGCUGUAUUUUCUUCUGAAUAGCUGAAAGCUGCAGAUCCUUCUGGUUGAAACAUCAAUUUAAAAUCCACCGCAGAUUCUCACAUGCUGUGGCAUGGAAUUAUAAAGAAAUUUGAGGACCAAUUUCAUUCUUUGCAUGUAAAUCCAUUUCUCCUCAACACUAUUUAUUGAAGAGACUAUCCUCUCCUCAUUGUGUAUUCUUGGAGCCCUGGUUGAAGGAUACCCACAGCAAGAAAGAGGUUUUGCAGUUUCCACAACAAGACAGGAUCCCCUUGGGAAAUUAAGCUGGUUGUAGCUGACACUCCAGUUCCUGAUUCUUUAUGGCACUACAUAUCUUUUUGUCUCUAGUUUUCAAUUUAAUAUCCACGGUGUAUGUGUCUACACAGAGUAUCUGUUCAAACCAAAGCUGCAAGGGAAGCUGGGAAAGCCAUUAUCUGAGUUUUUCAUCUUUGUAGUAGGAUGUAGAAUCUACUUUCCUCUAAAUCUCACAAAAAGUUAAAUGUCCCAGACUAAAACAAGAACCUCAACAUAAAACAAUAAAA